UCCCUUGACUGCCAGGAUUGCUUACCUUAGCGACGCUGGCAAAAGACAGAACUCUCCGUUGCCGAGCAACCAUGCCGGUAGCUACAGGCAAGCAUUGUGCGGCAUCCGCAAGGUCACUGGAGUGGAGCGGAUCCCAGACCACCUACCAAGGCUGCUUCCCGCUCCGCCUGACCCACUUUCUGCCUCCACUGAGCUUCUGCUCGUGGCACCAGUUGUAGUUUCGCGGGCCGCGCAGCUCGAUAGCCUUUUACUGCUUGCAAGCCAAGCCCGUCGACCGAUCGGCGGCCUACUCCCGCCACAAUGACCUCCACCCUGGCUGAUUCCAGCCCCAGAGCCGCCGGCACCUAUACCUUCGCCAGCCGGCCCAGACCCCUGAACUGCCAGCGUCGCCGCUACCGGGACUUCUACGGGUCGUCAGAUGAAGAACCCAUUCGUUAUGGAAACAUUAUGUAUGACAGAAGAGUUAUACGAGGCAACACUUAUGCUCUACAUACAUAUCCACCGACUUCUCAACCUGAUCCUGUUGAGCUCCAAAGACAGCAAGAGGCCAAGAGGAAAGCUCUUGCCAGGAAGCGAGCUAGAGAACAUCUUCGACCAAGAAGUCCUGAACCUGUAGAGGGCAGGAAGCAUGUUGAUGUUCAGACAGAGUUAUAUCUAGAAGAGCUUGCUGACCGCAUAAUAGAAGUUGAUAUGGAAUGUCAAACUGAUGCGUUUUUGGAUAGACCACCAUCACCACUCUUUAUCCCAGCUAAAACUGGCAAAGAUGUAGCCACUCAAAUAUUAGAAGGCGAGCUGUUUGAUUUUGACAUUGAAGUCAAACCAAUGUUAGAAGUUUUGGUGGGAAAGACCAUUGAACAGUCUUUGCUGGAAGUGAUGGAGGAAGAAGAAUUGGCUGAACUACAAAUGCAACAACAACAGUUUGAAGAAUUGCGGAAUCUGGAACUUGCAGAAGUACAGAGACUUGAAGAGCAAGAGAGGCGCCACCAGAAGGAAAAGGAACGUCGCAGACAGCAACAACUAGAAGUAGUACGUAAACAGAAUGAGACUUCACAGAAAAUUGCAGCUCGAGCAUAUGCUAAGAUGUACCUGGCUGACCUCCUUCCCUCUGUCUUCAGUAAUCUCAGGGAUAAGGGUUACUUCUAUGAUCCUGUAGAAAGAGAUAUUGAAGUUGGAUUCCUACCAUGGUUGAUGCAUGAAGUAGAUAAGACAAUAGAAUACAACAUGCUGGGGAGAGUAGUACUUGACAUGUUGAUUCGUGAAGUGGUUGAAACUAGGUUGAAUAUGUUUGAACAGCUUGGAGCUAAACAGUCAGAGGUUUUACCUGAUGAGAAUGACAAAGAUAGGGAAGAAUCAUUGACAGUAGGAGCUGAACCAUUCAUGGAGGGUUCACAACGGCCUUCACAAUGGAGUUCACAAUGGGGUUCACAAUGGGAUUCACAACGGGGUUCACAAAGAUAUGAUUCUAUGGAUUCGGCAUUUACCGAUCAAAGGGAAUCCUUUGAGAGAAGUGCAUCUUUUGACCCAUGAAACCAAGUGACAGCCAAACCAUCAAAUAAUCAGUCAACUCCUAAUUUCCUUUGCCUGGAACCUCGAACACCUUGGCAACACAGGGUCUAAUAGUGUGGAAACUCAAAACUUCAGGACUUUGUGAAACAAGGGAGUUGAAAAACAUUUAACAAUCUUCACUUCAACUAAAAUCACAUAUUUUUAUGCAUGUUUUGUAUUUAUCUAUGAGUAUAUGUAUUGCAUUGUGCUCCCAACCCCUAGCAGAAUUUAAACUUGUUGAGGAAAAGGACAGUCUCAUUUUUAUCUUCCCAUCUCCCCAAUACCUACUAUAUACCUAGCAUAUAGAGAGUCCUUAAUAAAGAUCUGUUGAAUUAAGUGAGUGGAAUUAACAGCUAGAAAUUUAGUGCUUAUGCGAUGAUUCAAAGCAAUUCCAAUAGAUUGAGAUGAAAAAUGCCCUCCAUAUCUAGAGAAAAAACUAUGGAGACUGAAUGUGGAGUGAAGCAUGGUGUUUUCAUCUUUUUGUUGUUGUUAUUGUUUGUUUGCUUGUUGUUUUUUGUUUUUGUUUCUCAUGAUUUUUCCCUUUUGAUCAGUUUUUUUUUUUUUUGCACAAUAUGACAAAUAUGUAAAUAUAUUUAAAAUCUAUAUCAGAUUGCUUGCUGUCUUGGAGAGGAAGGAGAUAAAGGAGGAAGGGAGAAAAAUAUAGAACACAAAGUAUUACAAAAAUGAAUGUUGAAAACUAUCUGUACAUGUAUAUGGAAAAAUAAAAUACUAUUAAAAAUGAAAAUUAGUGCUUGUUUAACUAAUGUGAUAUUUAGAUUAGUGAAAGGAGUAUGGUCUUAAAAUAUCAGUAAAUGUUUAGCACAGAUUUAGAGCUGAAAAGGACCUUAGAGGUCACCAAAUCCAAACUCCUCAAUUUUAAAGUUGAAGAAAUGAGACCAAAAAAACUAAAACUGAGACAGGUUACAAAUUUAGAUAGCUCUUUUUGACUCCAGGUUCAGUACUCUAUAUGUUACCAUAGUCUUUACUAAACAGCGUUCUUAGUGUACUGCAUCCAGUUUGGGUCUUUUUUUUUUUUUAUUUUUAAGAAUGGGGCCUUUGUUUCUCUCUUUUCUUUCUUUUUAAAUAAAUUUGUUUCUAUUUUCUGUUUAUGUCUUUUUUUCUUAGAUCACUUACAUUCACCAAUGUGUUCUUCCCCUUUUUCUAUGUGUGUGUAUAUAUAUACAUAUAUAUAUAUACACAUUCAUAUGUUCAGAAAUGAAUGUUAUACAAAAACAAAAAAGUACCAAUAAAAAUUUUUCAUUUUUAAAUUUUUCAGAGAAAUGUCAGAAGUAUUACAAAAGCAGCAAUAGCAAAGAUAUGGGAACAUAUGCCCUAGGAGGAAAAGUUAAAGGAACUAAGAUUAUUUACCUUGGACAAAAGAAGGCUAACUUGAGACCUAAUAAAAAUAAGGGAUUUCCUAAUUUGAGAAUUGGGGGACAAUAGAAAAGGCAACUGUGUUCAGUUCUAAGUGCAGAGUGGGUGGAGCUGAAAGAAAGCCAAAAGGAGAUGGAGAAGCCUGCCCUUUCUCCCCCAUUUCAUCUGUUCCUAGCCUCCAUCAACUUUCACCUGCCCCUCAGUAGUGAAUGGUGCUAUCCUGAUCCUCUACCCCAUCUCUCUGAAGUUGUUUGAUUGGAAGGAGAAUUGUUUUAUUUAUAUUAAAAAUUUUUUUUCUUUCCCUUACUACAUUUGUGACUAUCAUUUUUUCUGAUCUCAGUUUUCUUAUCUGUGAAAUAAAGGAGUCGAACUAGA